rnacentral:rRNA from 1 species
AACGAACGCUGGCGGCAGGCCUAACACAUGCAAGUCGAGCGCCCUUUCGGGGGCGCGGCGGACGGGUGAGUAACGCGUGGGAAUAUGCCCUUCUCUACGGAAUAGCCUCGGGAAACUGAGAGUAAUACCGUAUACGCCCUGUGGGGGAAAGAUUUAUCGGGGAAGGAUUAGCCCGCGUUGGAUUAGGUAGUUGGUGGGGUAAUGGCCUACCAAGCCGACGAUCCAUAGCUGGUUUGAGAGGAUGAUCAGCCACACUGGGACUGAGACACGGCCCAGACUCCUACGGGAGGCAGCAGUGGGGAAUCUUAGACAAUGGGGGCCACCCUGAUCUAGCCAUGCCGCGUGAGUGAUGAAGGCCUUAGGGUUGUAAAGCUCUUUCAGCUGGGAAGAUAAUGACGGUACCAGCAGAAGAAGCCCCGGCUAACUCCGUG